AGCUGGAAGCAAGUCUCCAGCCCCCGUCAAGCUUUCAGACGGCUACAUCCCCAGCAGACAGCUAGACUGCAACCUCUUCGGCCCCUGAUCCAGAACCACCCAGCUAAGCUGCUCCCACAUCCCCAUCUCUCAGGAACCAGUCCAACAGUCAUUGGGAAGCUAAGUCAUUUACCUGCUAAGCCAAGUAAAAAUGGGUAUGAUGGGUUCAGCCCAGAAAGACAUCACAGUUUGUACACGGACACUGGAAUGCAAAUGACUACAAUGCUCUUCACCCUGCUGGCUGCCCCACUCUGGCUCCAAUGAAGAUUUUCAUACCUUUCCAAGUUUGCUGGGGAUUCACCCA